GACAGAGUGAGAGAGUGAGAGAGGGGGAGAAAUUGAGAGAGACGGAGAGUGGAAGGAGGGAGAGAGAGAGAGAAUCUCAAGCAGACUCCCUGCUGAACACAGAGCCCAACGCAGGGCUCCAUCUCAUGACCUGAGCCGAAAUCACAAGUCAGACUCUUAACCCACUGAGCCACCCAGACGCCCCAAUAAGAUAUUUGGGUCAUCUUAAACUGAGGCCAAUUAAACACCAAGACCUGUGUUCCCGAACCAGUGAGGAGCAAGGACAGAGGACAAAGUGGACACCAUCUAUCCUAAGGAGGAUAGAUAUACGGUUAAGAGGGAAGGAACAAAUUUUAAUAUGCAAUGUAACAAUAAUGUGACAACAAAAGAAAGAUUUUGAAUGCAUUAACAACACUUUGUUUUUAAAAAAAUGUGGCACGGUGGAAAAAGGAAGAAGCAGGAAAUGGCCUCAAGGAAUAGUCUUCUCUGUUCGUCUGAAAACUGAAGAAAAAGAAAGCUCUGUAUCAAAAUCCUCGAGGCCCUAGGAAGGAAGUCAAACAAACCCAAGAAUCCCCAAACAACCUGACAAUUCAAGUCCUAAAGAGAAUCGACUACCGGCCGCGACAGCACUGGGCCAGGAAAUAAAAGCUGCCCCAGCGUCUGCAGAGCAUUGAAUAAAGCAUCAUGAAAGAAUCUGGAGACUGGAAAGAGAUUCAAAUUCUCAGAGAGCUCCAAGCUCAGUGAUGUGUGGGGUAUUUCCCAGUCACCAUUUCUUCCUCUCACGGGCUAAGGGAACGCUGUGCCUGAUGAUCAGAGAGACCAGCUGUUUCUCAUCAGCCCGUGAACACCGCACACAAAAAGAAUUAAUACAUCCAGUCUAAGAGAGUUGAAGAGGAAUACAGUUACAUUUUACCAAUAAGUCAUCAUUUUCCAUAUUGGCUCUGCUCUAGACUCUAUCAGACAAGUUGACAGUGUUAUCUAACACAGCCCAGACCACCACAAGAGGCCGUGUGGGCAGGAUCCCGUGCACUCACGCACGCACAGAAGCACAGAAGGUUCAGAAAGACCAACAAAAUAACUUCUCCUCGAGUGGACUGACAGUUUCCUGUCAUGGGAGCCAUGAGCCACCUGUCACUCCAGGCCUCUCAGCCAGCCCAGGUGGGAAGCAGAGUGUGGCCUUCUCUUAUAUCGGAGAAUCCUAAACUGCCAUCCAUGUUAGCACAGGAGUGCGUGACUCAA